rnacentral:lncRNA from 1 species
GCCCUGGCUGUCCUGGAACUCACUCUGUAGACCAGGCUGGCCUCAGAAAUCCGCCUGCCUCUGCCUCCCGAGUGCUGGGAGUAAAGGCGUGCGCCACCACUACCCAGCGAGAUUAAGUCUUAAUUCUAAAAUACCAUGUCUUGGCUUUGAGAAAUGGACUGUGUGUUAUCUGGGUCACACUGCUUGGCAGAUGAAGAAAGCAAGUUGUGAGGCUGAUGUGGGUGAGGAGGUGCUGCUCUAUCUAACUGCUCUGUGCAUUAUGGACGGGCUCUUAGUGACAACAGACUGGGGUGUGAGGCAGCAGUCCUGGCCGGCGAGGAGAGUGUGUCAGUUCCACUUUAAAUUGGUACUUCUUGGCCAGGUUUUUUGUUUUUGUUUUUAAAGAUUUCUUUUAUUUGACAUGUAUGAAUGUUUUGCCUGUUUGUAUAUAUCAGGUCAGAACUGGAGUUAUGGGUGGUUGUGGGUUCUGGGAACUGAAUCUGGGUCCUCUGCAAGAGCAGCUGCUGAGCCAUCAUCUCACCAGCCCAAAGAGAGAUGAUUUUUAAGGCUGUCUCUGGUAAUUAGAGGCAUCAGUGAUUUAAAAUGGUUGAAUUGUUUUCUCAGUUUUGAAAUACUAUACAAAUCUUGCCUCCCAAAUUUGGGGAUUAAAUGUGUGUGCUACCAUACCUAGCCUUUUUAAGACAGGAUCCUGGUAUGUAGCUCAGGCUGGCCUCACACUAGUGCUGGGAGUAGAGGCCUGCGUUACCAUAUUGUUCGAUAAAUCUCAACUUCUAAGAGUAGAUCCCAAAGCUUACUUUAUGCUUCUGUAGACUACCCAGAACAGUGGUGUUUUCUUUACAUGUAGUCUCCAUUUUCUGAUUUAGCCUGAUAGAUAAGGCUUGAGAUGACUUGGAUAGUUUCGUACUUGGAGACCUUUUUGGAAGGGGGGGGUCUCACUGUGUACCUCUGGCUGGUCAGUAAUUUGUUAUGUAGACUAAGCCUGCCUUUGACUUGUAGAGAUCAUCUCACUACCAUUGCCUCCUAGGGCACCGUGCUCAGUGGGAACCUGCUUUUCAGGAUACAGAUGAGACAGAUAAGAGUAUGCUGCUGAGAGGCUAUUGGCCUAACUCUGCAUCUCUAUUUGGGCCCACAUUGAUGGUGCCUUUUUUUUUUCCCUAUAGUUUAUUUAUAGGGGAGGGAGUUGAGGGAGUAGAUCAGAGAAAGGGUGUGUAUGUGGGGAAGAAGAGUAGAGGCCAGCCAUGAGCAUGUGGAUAGAACUCGGGGAGGGGAAUGGAGAGAGGGGGAAAGAGGGUAAAAGUGAGAAGAGACAAGAGUGAUGGUGCUUUUUGACUCGUUCAUCCCUGUGGUAUUUGAGAUUAUGAAGAGCAGGCUAAAUCAGGCUGAUCUGGAUAUCAGCUGGCCUUGAACAUUAUCUUCCUCCUUAACCUUCAAAUACUUUUUUGAUGUUUUUCUUGUUUUGUUUUUUAAUUACAAGUUCUUUUUUCUUGUUUUCUUGUUAAAUUAGGGUUUAAGCAGGGGUGUAUACUUAGCCCUCAAAUGCUGAGAUCACAAACCUCUGUCACUAUGCUUGGAUUCAGUCUUAAGUAUUUGUAUCCUAAUAACUUAAUGGCUGUUUUUAGAAACAAUAAAUGUAAUUAAAAGAAAAUAUUUUUAGUUCAGCAUUAAAUAACUGUCAGAACUUGUCUCGUGAGAUGCGUUCAUCAGUUAGAUAACCUCUAGUUUUCAGACCUGGGGUCAUGUUGACAUUGCACUCUGAUCUUUCCCUAGCAUUUGUAUUUGUGAGUUACACACUCAUCAUACAAAUAAGUCUAUAUGACAUUUUUUGUACUGUGCUCAUAUUCACAUCCUAUGUCCACUCUUGCUUCUAUUUUCUUUGUUAGUUGUUAAAUAUUUAAAGGGUUAUGUUUUUGUGUUUAUUUUUGGGAACACAUGUAUGUAAUAACUUUAUUUUUUUAUGUGGAGGUCUAGAGGACAGCUUGUGGAAGUCAAGUCUCUUCUACCAUGUGGGACUAAACUCACCGAGUGCCUUUAGAGCCAUCUGUCCAGACCUUGGUAUUUUGAAGACUGGGUCUGUAGCCCAUUCUGUUCUCCAUUUCCUUGUGUAGUGAAGAUGGUCUUUUUUUUUUUUUUUUUCCGAAGCUGAGGACCGAACCCAGGGCCUUGGGCUUGCUAGGCAAGCGCUCUACCACUGAGCUAAAUCCCCAACCCCGUGAAGAUGGUCUUAAUCCUGAUCCUUUGCCUCCGUCUCCCAAGUGGUUUAUUUUAUCAUUACAAACUUCCACAACCCAACUUCUUUCAAGUAUCUGUAGUGUAUCCUAAUGUCAAAAUUGAACUUCCUCAAGCCAUUAACUCAAUACAGAUCAAGUAUCACUGUGUUUCCCUCAGCAUCUU